rnacentral:lncRNA from 1 species
UUCAGUACUUACUUUUGUGGGAUUGACUUCAUUUUAUGUAAUAUAACUAAGCAGAUUAUAGUUGAUAUUGCUAUAUUUUCUUAUUUCCUUUUAGUUAGUGAAAACCAUAUAUCACACCACCUUAGUGUUUGUAUCUUAUAGUUGGGGUUGAGGGCCUUGAUAUCAUGUAGUCACUCAUUCUCUUGGUAGAUUUUUUUGUUGGAGGCAAGUUUGGAAUGAAAAUCUUGAUAUCAAUCCCCACA